rnacentral:rRNA from 1 species
CCUACGGGGGGCAGCAGUGAGGAAUAUUGGUCAAUGGGCUUACGCCUGAACCAGCCAAGUCGCGUGAGGGAAGACUGCCCUAUGGGUUGUAAACCUCUUUUGUCAGGGAGCAAUUGGCGCUACGUGUAGCGUUAUCGAGAGUACCUGAAGAAAAAGCAUCGGCUAACUCCGUGCCAGCAGCCGCGGUAAUACGGGGGAUGCGAGCGUUAUCCGGAUUUAUUGGGUUUAAAGGCUGCGUAGGCGGCAUGCAACGUCAGCGGUAAAAUCGCGGGGCUCAACCUCGCUCCGCGGUUGAAACUGGCGAACUAGAGUGGGCGAGAGGUAAGCGGAAUGCGUGGUGUAGCGGUGAAAUGCAUAGAUAUCAGGCAGAACUCCGAUGGCGAAGGCAGCAUACCGGCGCCCAACUGACGCUGAGGCACGAAAGCGUGGGUAUCGAACAGGAUUAGAUACCCCUGUAGUC